UAGGAAAUACGCCUGCGGUUCC
rnacentral:miRNA from 1 species